rnacentral:rRNA from 1 species
AUUGAACGCUGGCGGCAUGCUUUACACAUGCAAGUCGAACGGUAACAGGUUAAGCUGACGAGUGGCGAACGGGUGAGUAAUGCAUCGGAACGUGCCCGGUCGUGGGGGAUAACGCAGCGAAAGUUGCGCUAAUACCGCAUACGAUCUGAGGAUGAAAGCGGGGGACCGUAAGGCCUCGCGCGAUCGGAGCGGCCGAUGUCAGAUUAGGUAGUUGGUGGGGUAAAGGCUCACCAAGCCAACGAUCUGUAGCUGGUCUGAGAGGACGACCAGCCACACUGGGACUGGGACACGGCCCAGACUCCUACGGGAGGCAGCAGUGGGGAAUUUUGGUCAAUGGGCGAAAGCCUGAUCCAGCAAUGCCGCGUGCAGGAAGAAGGCCUUCGGGUUGUAAACUGCCUUUGUACGGAGCGAAAAGGUCUCCUCUAAUACAGGGGGCUCAUGACGGUACCGUAAGAAUAAGCACCGGCUAACUACGUGCCAGCCGCCGCCGUAA